UUUUGGGAUAUGAUACUGCUCAGAUGUUUAAGCCAUAGACAGGAGAUGCUGAUCUUCAAAUUCUAAAUCCAGCUUGUUGGCAUAUUAUGUAAUGGUCCACCUGUUUCAGUCUUGCCAUCUGGAUAACAGAAGUACCACAUAACUGGGUUCUUUAAAACAUAUGCUAGUUAUGGCAAUAUAUACUAUUUGGAGGCAGAGCUUGGCUAGUUUAUUCCAAUUUUUGGCUUACUAAAAACUCACAGACAUGGAUUCUACCAGGGAAGCCGAAAGGCUCUCUGCUCUUCAGCCACCAUGCAAGACAAUUUCAGCCAUAGAACCUAUGGACACUGCCCUUUGGGCAAAGGACACAGAGGGAGCUGUCAUGCAUAAAGUUAUCAGCACUCAAGAUGAAAAACGGAAGCCCUUCCUCGAGGCAGUCCACCUGCCUGGCAAACAGUUGUUUUUUUAAGUAGGUAAGACCUCCCAGAUCCUGGAGAGAAAUGUGUACCUUGUGGCUAGAAGACCUUUCAGGAGCACAGCUUGGGUGGGCAUUUUGAAGGAAUGGCUCUUUUUAUUUUUUUUCCCUAUAUUUCCUGCAUAGUUUUAACUGGGCUUUUGCAGAGAAAGAAAUACCCAAUCUAGAGCCAUCAGCCUGGAGUUUUACCCAGAAAGGGGUAGGGCGGGGGCAGGCGGGUAGUGGAGAAACAAACAAACAAACUACUCACCACUGGCUCCUCAGAGGCUACAUACAAUGAUCUUGACCUGAUGUCUGCAUUAGAAUUGCCUGCCAGCCUCAGGGCAUUUUCCCUCCGGAGAAAGGGGCUUUACCAUCCAGGGCCAUCUGGUGGGGCUGCAAAGGACAUCCAUAUGGCAAAUAGGGGUGAAACACACCAGACCUCGUCCAAUCUGCUAUAUACCAGUGUUUGUUUCAAAGUGGAAAAAGCCAUGUAGCUCUGGGUUCUCACCAGGAGAAGGCCAGCUGUUGUUUCCCCCGAAAACUUGAAGGUUGGGGCCUUAGCUGAGUGAACUGCAUCUAACCUCAGCCUUGGAGAUACAGAAACCCACCAUCACCUCAUUUAGGCUUUCAGAGGUGGGCUUAUGUGAGCCAAGUUCAUAUGACUGAUAUGUGAAACUGGUCACUAGUUAAUAUAAUUAAAUAAAAAAUAAUU
rnacentral:lncRNA from 1 species